CGUGGCGUUUCUCUGCCUGUUUGUGAGGGGGUGUCUGUGUGCUAGCGUUCAUGCGGUGAAGUUACCCUCCGCGUAGCUCAGUCUUGUUCACCGCGGCAGUCUCAAUGAAACCCAGAAUCCCUGAUGUGAAUGUGCCAUGGUUACGCAUGCUCCGGCGCGCUGAGGAUCCCGGAACUGCCUUUCCAGGUUGCGAUUUCACAAGUCCUGGGCCCACCCAGCAUUCCCCUGGGUUCUGGAAGCCAACGUCCAAGUGCCGCGCAUGCGUAAAAGUGACUUAAGUGCUGAGCCAGCCCCGCGGCAUAAUUGUUUUAUAAAUAUUUUAUGUGUGUGUGCUCCCUAAUUUCAUGUCUGUGCACCACGUGUGCGUCAGAUCCCCUGGAACCUGGGAUUCAAAAUGUCACCCGUGGAAGUGGUCAAAGCGUUCUCAUCUCUCCAGCCCGAAGAUUGCAUAAUUUUAAAGGGAAGUAGGCAAUCUUCUUGAUGACAAGCAGACAUUACUGCAAAGGGCAGGAAGUCCUGGGCACCUAGAGUUGGAGCUCCGUGGUAGAGUUUGCCCAGCCCCUGGCCAACACUACAGGAGAGAAAGAAAAAUGGACAAUGAGAAGAACCAAAGCUUUGUGUGUAAAACAUAAAGCAUCGUGACUGUGGCUGGUACCUUGACCUUCACGCAGUUGUCUCAGAGGAAAUGCAAGCAGCUCUCGGGGAUAUUUCUGCUGCCAGAGAGCUCUCAAGAGCAUUCAGUACCUCAAAUACGGUGGUGCUGCAGACUGGAGAGCUUGCUGAGACAUCAGCCUGGAGAAGCCAGAAUCCCCGUAAUGCUACCUUUGUCAUCUUCCCAGACCCGCAGCCUUUAAAAGAAUCAGACGUACGAGGACUUGAAAGACCGAACAAGGAAAGCUGCGCUAGAGAAAGGUUGCAACAAGACGCCACAAGCCUCCUACAAAUUAUUCAUAAUUCCAUUCUGAUUCACAGCAGGAGUCAAAAUAGCCCGUGAGCCCCAGGCUGCAGCUGGUGGAGAUUUGGUGUGUUUGUUCGGCUCCUCCAAUGAGGGCAGGCCAAGUGGAGGCCUGGGGAAGGGAGAUCCCUGAAGAUAAAAAUGAGUCUUCGAGGCCAAAUGGUCUUUUGGCUGAAGGUCCCAGAUAUUUGGUAACCAGACUUGAACUGUAGCCAGGGAGGAGGCGGAGGGAAACCUCAGCCACCAUGGCUAGAUAGACCUCCUUGGGGGUAGUAGUGCCUUCUCUGCCUUUACCCUGCACAGGUUAUUUCAGGAAAACAAGGCUCCUGUGGCCCACCAUUUUUCUCAGAAUGGAGUUUUUUCAAAAUUACUUAGACAUCUUCUUAAAAUGUCCAUUCCAGGUCCCACCUCAGACCCAUAAAUCAGAAACUUCACCAGCACAGCCAGGCAAGGUGCUAUUCAAGAAAAGACCCCUGCUGAAGCCUUAUAGGAAACUACGUUGGGGGCUUCUAACAUGGCUUUGCAUUUCUCUAUUUUACUGAGAGAAGGGCCUGUUAUGGUCCUGAUUGACAUAGGUAAGCAUAUCUUGGAUGCAUGUGGAGAUGUGAUGGUUUGGAAACACAAGCACACAAGCUUGCUCAGCACCUUUGCCAUGCUCGGUGUGGGCUGUGCCUCCUGACCUGUGACGUCAGCAGUGAAAACACACGGAAGACUUCCACUCUGAAAUUCAGUGUCUCCUGUGAAGUGACAUGUGGUUUGGUACUAAGUUACUUGAUGUGAAAGUUAAAUGUUAGUUAAAAACAUAGAGGCCCAAAACAACCAUGGGGGAGAUGGGUGGUAAGAUGGAUUAUGAAGAACCGACAGUUAUGAUCUUUGUAAAGAAAAGAUGUUCCCAACAAGGAGAGUAUGAUGUCAGAGCCCUAGAGGAAGACGGAGGCUCAGAUUCCAACAGCAUAGCAGAACUCUAGAUUUUCUGUAGAGCAGGGAUGCACUGGAAGGAAUAAAAAGGGCUGGAUCACGAAGGGUCCCGGAAAUCUAUGAACAAUCUAGAAAAAAAAAGAAAGAGCUAUUUCAUGUUGUUUGGUAUCGGGGACUGUGUUUUUCCAUGGCUCCACCAUGGAACCAGCUGGAGAGACCCAGCUUAGCAUUUGCUUUUGAGAUGGAUGUCCAGGGAGGAUGGGAAGUAGAGGGGAGGUGGUUCUUUAGCUGAGAGCACCUGAGCAGGAGAAGGGGGCACUAAGUCAGUCCCAAUAUGAGCCAGAUACGGAGCUGAGUCAAGGCCAUGGUUCACAAAUAGGUAGGAAGCUGAAGCAGACAUAGAAGCUAGCAAGCAGGGGAAGACUCAAUCCUGUGGAAUUAGUCUGUUCUCCAUGGUAAAACCAGAGUCAUGGGAUGUGCUCUGGAAGAACAAAAAGUCAGUGAUGGGCCCCAAAGCUUUAAACACUGUGACUAAGUUCCAUGCAUCUAUGGGAUGGAGCCAAGAUUGACUGUGGUAUGCUGGCAGGGUCAUUCCACAGUUGGCGUAGAGAUGUCAUAGAGAGGUAGCUGUGUACUGUUGGCAUCUAGGAAGCCAUGAUGCUCAGUUCUGGCGAUGGUCAACAGUUAGAAACCAUUGGGAACAUCCAUGUCGUAGAAUGAGAAUCUUCACAUGACAAGGUAAGAUACUGAGAUCAUAGCUCAGGGACAGAAAAGCAACUAUUUACUGGGCUGUCUCUGGUUGUGAUGGUUGUUUGUCCAGAGUCCUGUGUCUAACUUGAGCACCAUAAGAAGGAAUUGACUGAUGAAUUAGUGAAGUGCUCUCUGGAUUUUGGAAGGCUGAGUGAACAGUGGCCAUUGUUUGGCAUCUUCUUUGACCUAAGACUGCUGACCUCAUGUCUGAGGAAGAAAGUCCCACGUGUAGCAAGCGUGCUUCUAAUGGUCACUCAGCUCUAAGACUGGAGCUGAGGACUCCUGAUGCCCAGCCCAGCAGUUUCCCUUUGGAUCGUGUAGCUUUUUCUCCUCUCCUGCACACCAAGAGCUGUCACACUGACCUCUCUUUCCCAGUCCCACCCUUGGCUUGUGUUAGAUUUUGUUAGAUCAGGAACUUGGCCAUAGGACUGAUUUGCACAAUGGCUAAAUUUGUUUCACAUGUGAUCAGUACUCUUGGGGAUGGAUUCUAGGAAGAGGAGGGGCAAAUUGAUUCAGAAUUCCCAAGUGCUGGAAAAUGUAAUUAACUAGGGCGAUGGUGAGAGCCAGCUGGGAAAAGAGGAAGGGAAAGAGAAGGAGAUUGAAUGGGUGGGGGGAUUUGGGGAGGAAGGUAGUAUGAGGGAAACACAGACUGUCUCUACUGUUACAGGAGUGGAGAUGAAGAAUUGGGGUGGAGGGUUGUAAUCUGCUCCGUGGAGGUGGGACUAGCCAAGCGGGUUGAAUGGAGGGAGGGACCUUGUUGUGCAUUGCUAUGAAAGGUCAUGUGGGUUUUGAGAAACAAAUGGUCCAUGAAGAUUCUCUAAGCCUGGAUUUUUUUGACACAAAGUAGGCACAUGAUCCGUAUCAGCCAAAAUAAGGAGCUUUUGUCCAGGUGUCAUCCUUAAAGAUGCUCUGGAGCAAUGGUUGGUGCCAUGUUGAUAGACGCAGCAAGUGACUUGGGUCCCAGGAUGGUCACCUAACUCCCCCAGGUUUGCAAAGUGACUGAUCACACACAGGAUUCAAAUCCUGCUCUCUCUUCCCUGUUAAAGUCUUAGGGACCACGAUGCUUAAGAAGAACAAGGAUGGGGUGUAUUACCUUCGGAGAGCACCUACCUGACAUGGGGAAGUGGAUGGAACUGAAGAUUAUCAUGCUAAAUGAAAGAGACCAGACCCAGAAAGACAGACACUGCAUUUUCUCUCGUAUGCCUGAAAGGCAUGAAAGGAGAAGGGCGGCUAUUUGGAAAGAGGAAAAGGACCAGUAGGAGGAGAAGGAGCACAAGAGAGAAUAACAGAGUCCCGGGUCACGUGUUUGCCGAUUGCUUCUCAGUUGCUUUGGGAAAAUUCCGUAAGGAACCCCUGUAUGUGCAGACAGCAGUCACUGCGGACACCCACGGGAGGACACCUGGAAGAGAAAACAAAGAAGCAACAAAAACAAAACAGAAUUUUUAAAAAUACGAAACAAAACAAAGAAAAACUCAAUGGAUUCUCACUGGAUAUAUUAACCACACUCAAGGGAAGACCCUCUACCUCACAGUAAACGGCCAACACAAAACAAACUCAAUGGUAUUUUUGUAGACUUUUUCUCUUAUAUUACUUUGCUUGGGCAUGUGUGUGUGUGUGUGUGUGUGUGUGUGUGUGUGUGUGUUAACUGAUCUUUUGCUUGUAUAUUGUAUUUGCUUGCAUAUGGUUUCCAAUUUUCUGUUUUUAAGAAAAAGCCUGUUCUUAUAAGUGUGUUCCAAUAGAAUAACUAAUAAAUGAGAAAGAAAAAGAAGGAAAGAAAGAAAAAGAAAGAAAGAAGGAAGGAAGGAAGGAAGGAAGGAAGGAAGGAAGGAAGGAAGGAAGCAAGGACGAGAUCCCACUGUCUUGCACUCCAGUCUGAAUGAACAUGCCUUGGCAUAGAGCAUCCACAGCUGUAAUCAUGAGAAAAAGAGAAACAGGCAGACAUUACAAGCCUUGGGAUGAGAGGACAAAUCACCACCCAGGAUCUUGCCAGAGACCAAACCAGAGACUCACCCAGCUCUCCGGGUCCAGCUCCUAUUUGAGGCAAUCUGGAAGGCAGAUAACAAUGGUGAUUUGUACCACAUGAUUUGCAAUCAGCAGGGGCCAGAUGGUAGGCGGUCUACAGGUCAAAUGCCUGGAAAGUAUUAAGAAGUCAGAGGGUGCUGAGCUUUGCGCAGAAGGAAAGGCAUAAACCUGAACAGGGCCCAUCAAGGUAUUUUGAGAGUGACGGAGGGGUUCUUCUCGGAACAUACCACUGAGCUGUGCACCUGUGUGAUUUUCUGACCCAGGUUUUAUUUUGCACUGAGAAGGUAAAAAAGAGGAAAGAGCUGUGAGUAGCAAUUCUAACACAUAAAUGUUUAGGGGUGCCCUUAAAGGCUUGAUAGUCAAGAUAUAGCUUAAAGGAAUGACAUGACCUCUGGGGCCACUCGGAGAGGGGGAAUCCCAGCUUGGCAGUUUGCCAGCUGUGUGACGCUGGAUGAGGGACACCGCCUCUCUCCAACUCAGUUUUCUCACCUGUGGAGAGGAGGCCUCUGUAGUUUGGGGCUUCCACAGUGGCACCGAGGCACAUCCAGAGCACUGCUCAGAACACAGCAAGGCCUCUUGUUCACGCAGACAGAUUGGUCUGUCUUAUUUCUUGCCUUUCUCCACCGUAAGUCCUCCUCAUGCCACUGCAGCGCCAUCACUGCCCUGAAAGGUCUGGCCAGGAGCUUGAGGGGCAAUGAGCAGAACGCUACCUUCUUUGGCCCUUUUGAACGUGACUGAGAUCACGGGAAGAGCCUCGAUGGAUGUUGCUUAAGCCUAGCAGGCACCACAGCCCACACCUGGACCCAACUUGCAGAGAUUCCAACUCGGCGACACUGGGGUGGGGUCCAAGCUCACAGAUGGCAAGGAGGUGCAGGCCGCAUGGAGGACUGUCAGAUGGCUCUGUGUGAUUUAAAAAAAGAAAAGUGGCGGCUUUCUCAUCUACCGCCUCUUCAGCUGCUAUCUCCUCAUCACCUCACUGCUCCACCAGCCACUGGCAUCUGUGGCAUCAGAGAAGCAGGCGUGGAAGCAAGGACAGGCCAGCUGGACGCAUGUUUGGGACGGUGACGGCUAGAGCCAUGGUUCUGAACUUCCCUAAUGCUGUGACCCUUUAGUACACUUCCCCGUUUUGUGGUGACCCCCAACCAUAUAAUUACUUUUGCCGCUCCUUCAGAACUGUAAUUUUGCUACUGUUUUGACUCCUAAUGUAAAUAUCUAUGUUUUCCAGUGGUCUUAGAUGACCCCUAUGAAAGGGUUGUCCAACCCCCAAAGGUUGAGAACUGCUGGGCUAGAGGAAGGUGAGCCCCAGAGGUGAGGGUUUGGUGUUAAUUAGCCAGAUGCCACUGUGUGGGGCAGUGGGGUGAGGGGGCAUAAGAGGAUACUCACACAUGCCUUUGCAGUGUUUCUAUAAUAAAUCAAGUCAGGACUGGGGUGCGGGGGUGACUACGUGAGAAAAGCGCUGAGCCCCACUCGUGAGGAGCCCUGAGUGGAAGACUCCUGGGAAGCAGCACCUAGGUUGACCUAUGACCUCCACAGACAUGGACACAUGCAUACAUGCACAUCUGCAUACAUAGGAACACACACAAAACUGCACACACCGUAUAUACAUAGCCCACCACAAGAACAAACAAACAAACCAAAAAGAAAUAACUUUUUUUUUUUUUUUUUUUUUUUUUUUUAUUGAGAGCUUUAGAUUUUAGCAGAGGAACCACCUAGCGCCAAGCUGUGUAUGUUCGGCCUGAGUAACGUGGUGGAAUGGGGGACGGGCCUUAAAAAGAAAUGUUGUUGUAAAUAAAAAUGGUGUUGGGAAGAAUAAUGCUUGUUAUUAUUAGCCCCAUAAUUAUGUUGGCAGUAUUAUAUAACCCACCAUCACAAUUAAUAAGACACAGAUGCCUGUUCAAUUUUAUAAUUGCCUUGUUUACCCUGGGCUGAGUGGAUAUUUUACCUACACUGUCUCAAUAAGCUCACCAUCCACCUCCCAGCCCCAUCCGAUGCCAUCUCCUUAACCGUGCCCAUCUGGGCUGCCUUCCAUUCAUAAUCUUAUAAAUACUUGCUUGUAUUCCUCAUUACCAUUAUUGGAGUCCUUCCUCCCAGCCCACUUGGUUUAUUCUCCACGCUAACCUAACUUGGCAUCCUCCUUCCUCCUCUCUUCCUGUCCAUCUGUUUCCUGUGACUCUCUUGAACCCAAAGCCCGGGAACCUUAGCCACGCCUACCCCAUUCUUUCCUGCCCAGGUUUUAGGCCUUUUGUCAACCAAUCAUGUAUAAUGUCUUAGGCAGGUUUACACAACAAGAAUAGGUUUAUCCAGGCAGUACCCAGAUCUUGAGGGUCAGUAGUUAGCCUCAAAAUACAAGCACCAGACCAACCCCCAACAGAGAAAAUAAGAGUUUUCUCUUUAAUGAAAAACAAAAACAAAAUCUGGAUUUAUAGAACCAACCAAUGCCAGUGGGUGUAGCAGCCUGCCUGGAAUUCCAUCCUUGGAAAGUAGAGACACAGGAUCCCCAGAGCAAGCUGGCCAGCAAGGCUAGCUACAUCAGUGAGCUCUGGGUUUGACUGAAAGACCUUAUCCCAAAGAGUAAGGUAGAAGAGCCAUGGAGAAAACUUCCAGGCAUCACCCUUAAAGUGUCAGUCAUUUUGAUAGUGGCCCUGACGCAGACAGUAAGUCACUUGGGAGUUCAUCGCAGAGAAAGAACGGGACUUGUGUAAGAAAGGCCAGUCCCUCACCACCACUGCUAGUUCUAGAACUGACGCAGGAUGUUCCAACGAGGGGGUUAAGGCUUCUCAUAAUAUUUCCUAUAAGCCCACACCUGUUUGUCUAUAUCCCCCAUUUUUAUUCAUUAUUAGCCAGAUAGAGCCAAGUAAUUGUGGUGAUGAUACUUGCUUUUUUGCCCAAUGCUGGAAUGCUAGUAAAUUUAGGUAUGCCCUAGUUACUCGCAUGCCUCACUGCGUGCCUGUGCCCGUUGAUGCCCCUCACGCUAUGAC